UACAGGGGGGGCAAGCGUUGUUCGGAAUUACUGGGCGUAAAGGGCUCGUAGGCGGCCAAUUAAGUCCGACGUGAAAUCCCCAGGCUUAACCUGGGAACUGCGUCGGAUACUGAUUGGCUUGAAUCCGGGAGAGGGAUGCGGAAUUCCAGGUGUAGCGGUGAAAUGCGCAGAUAUCGGGAGGAACACCAAUGGCGAAGGCAGCUCGCUGGGACGGUACUGACGCUGAGGAGCGAAAGCGUGGGGAGCGAACAGG
rnacentral:rRNA from 1 species